rnacentral:misc_RNA from 1 species
UUUCCGUAGGUGAACCUGCGGAAGGAUCAUUACUGAGUGAGGGCCCCUCGGGGUCCAACCUCCCACCCGUGUUUAACGAACCUUGUUGCUUCGGCGGGCCCGCCUCACGGCCGCCGGGGGGCAUCUGCCCCCGGGCCCGCGCCCGCCCAAGCUACCUGUGAACGCUGUCUGAAGUAUGCCGUCUGAGACAAUUAUUAAAUUAAUUAAAACUUUCAACAACGGAUCUCUUGGUUCCG